rnacentral:rRNA from 1 species
GGAAGAUGGGAGCUUGCUCCCUGAUGUUAGCGGCGGACGGGUGAGUAACACGUGGGUAACCUGCCUGUAAGACUGGGAUAACUCCGGGAAACCGGGGCUAAUACCGGAUGGUUGUUUGAACCGCAUGGUUCAGACAUAAAAGGUGGCUUCGGCUACCACUUACAGAUGGACCCGCGGCGCAUUAGCUAGUUGGUGAGGUAACGGCUCACCAAGGCAACGAUGCGUAGCCGACCUGAGAGGGUGAUCGGCCACACUGGGACUGAGACACGGCCCAGACUCCUACGGGAGGCAGCAGUAGGGAAUCUUCCGCAAUGGACGAAAGUCUGACGGAGCAACGCCGCGUGAGUGAUGAAGGUUUUCGGAUCGUAAAGCUCUGUUGUUAGGGAAGAACAAGUGCCGUUCAAAUAGGGCGGCACCUUGACGGUACCUAACCAGAAAGCCACGGCUAACUACGUGCCAGCAGCCGCGGUAAUACGUAGGUGGCAAGCGUUGUCCGGAAUUAUUGGGCGUAAAGGGCUCGCAGGCGGUUUCUUAAGUCUGAUGUGAAAGCCCCCGGCUCAACCGGGGAGGGUCAUUGGAAACUGGGGAACUUGAGUGCAGAAGAGGAGAGUGGAAUUCCACGUGUAGCGGUGAAAUGCGUAGAGAUGUGGAGGAACACCAGUGGCGAAGGCGACUCUCUGGUCUGUAACUGACGCUGAGGAGCGAAAGCGUGGGGAGC